ACGUAGGGGGCGAGCGUUAUCCGGAUUUACUGGGCGUAAAGGGUGCGUAGGCGGUCCUUCAAGUCAGGAGUCAAAGGCUACGGCUCAACCGUAGUAAGCUCCUGAUACUGUGGGACUUGAGUGCAGGAGAGGAAAGCGGAAUUCCUAGUGUAGCGGUGAAAUGCGUAGAUAUUAGGAGGAACACCAGUAGCGAAGGCGGCUUUCUGGACUGUAACUGACGCUGAGGCACGAAAGCGUGGGGAGCAAACAGGAUUAGAUACCCUGGUAGUCCACGCUGUAAACGAUGAAUACUAGGUGUCGGAGGUUACCCCCUUCGGUGCCGCAGCUAACGCAUUAAGUAUUCCGCCUGGGGAGUACGCACGCAAGUG
rnacentral:rRNA from 1 species